GAAAUGCGAUAAGUAAUGUGAAUUGCAGAAUUCAGUGAAUCAUCGAAUCUUUGAACGCACAUUGCGCCCCGUGGUAUUCCGCGGGGCAUGCCUGUUCGAGCGUCAUUUAAACCAAUCCAGCUUGCUGGGUCUUGGGCUUCGCCUCCGGGCGGGCCUCAAAAUCAGUGGCGGCGCCUCUCGGCUCUAAGCGUAGUAAUACUCCUCGCUAUAGGGUCCCGGGUGGACGCUUGCCAACAACCCCCAAUUUUAUCAGGUUGACCUCGGAUCAGGUAGGGAUACCCGCUGAACUUAA
rnacentral:misc_RNA from 1 species